rnacentral:lncRNA from 1 species
CAAAGAGGCUUGGAAGAAUGUCAAUCGAAAAGGGAAAGCUGAUUUAGGGAAGCAAGUGGGAUUACAAAAGAACCAUAUUUUCAAUGGGUAAAGGAAAGGGUGGAGAUGAUCAAAAUGUCAUUCGUCAUUCGGGCACCUGUACCUCUUCCUGAACCUAAGCUCACCCACGUCCCUAUUGAAGAAGUGGAGGAACUCAAGACCACCAUGGCAAAGUUAGAAAAAGAGAAUGAAGUGUUGCAGAUAAAGCUCCA